GAUGAACGCUAGCUACAGGCUUAACACAUGCAAGUCGAGGGGAAACGACAUCGAAAGCUUGCUUUUGAUGGGCGUCGACCGGCGCACGGGUGAGUAACGCGUAUCCAACCUGCCCAUCACUUGGGAAUAACCUUGCGAAAGUAAGACUAAUACCCAAUGACAUCCCACGAAGACAUCUGAAUGGGAUUAAAGAUUUAUCGGUGAUGGAUGGGGAUGCGUCUGAUUAGCUUGUUGGCGGGGUAACGGCCCACCAAGGCAACGAUCAGUAGGGGUUCUGAGAGGAAGGUCCCCCACAUUGGAACUGAGACACGGUCCAAACUCCUACGGGAGGCAGCAGUGAGGAAGAUGGGUCAAUGGGCGAGAGCCUGAACCAGCCAAGUAGCGUGCAGGAUGACGGCCCUAUGGGUUGUAAACUGCUUUUAUAAGGGAAUAAAGUGGGUCUCGGGAGACUUUUUGCAGGUACCUUAUGAAUAAGGACCGGCUAAUUCCGUG
rnacentral:rRNA from 1 species